rnacentral:rRNA from 1 species
AUUGAACGCUGGCGGCAUGCUUUACACAUGCAAGUCGAACGGUAACAGGCCUUCGGGUGCUGACGAGUGGCGAACGGGGGAGUAAUGCAUCGGAACGUACCCAGAGGUGGGGGAUAACGCAGCGAAAGCUGUGCUAAUACCGCAUGUGAGCUGAGGAUGAAAGCGGGGGACCGAGCAGCAAUGUUUGGCCUCGCGCCUUUGGAGCGGCCGAGGUCGGAUUAGCUAGUUGGUGGGGUAAAGGCCUACCAAGGCGACGAUCCGUAGCUGGUCUGAGAGGACGACCAGCCACACUGGGACUGAGACACGGCCCAGACUCCUACGGGAGGCAGCAGUGGGGAAUUUUGGACAAUGGGCGCAAGCCUGAUCCAGCAAUGCCGCGUGCGGGAAGAAGGCCUUCGGGUUGUAAACCGCUUUUGGCAGGAACGAAACGGUGUCCGCUAAUACCGGGCGCUAAUGACGGUACCUGCAGAAUAAGCACCGGCUAACUACGUG